rnacentral:sRNA from 1 species
AAGCUGUAAAGAUAAUCAAGUGAUACCUGCCAUUAUGUAAAGGAAUUUUGGAAUCCGUCUUUGGGGAAAUAAAAGCCAUAAGAGAGAAUGAAAGCUAAUACUUUGUAGUUUAAGGAUUUUUUUCCUUGAUGUAUCUAAUUGGAAGGCCGAAAGAGUCUUGUCUUUUUUUUUUUUUUUUUUUUUUUGCCUGCUUCUUCUGAGACAUCAAAAAACAUCUUGAUUUCUGCGGAGUAGAUGAGAUGGAGAAAGAUGAGACAGGCAACAGAAAUCUUAAGAGGCCACAGGUUAAGAUGGGGCACUAAGCAGGGAGAGCACCAAAGGAAGUAGGCCAAAGUAUUAAUAGAAGAUCCUAGAACAGAUUAAGGCAAAUCAUUUACCUUUUUUCCAUUGCCUUACUAAUCUUUCUGGAGCCAAUUACAAACUUUCAUGUUUUAUUUUAGGUCUCACAAGAAUCUUUUCUUUUCUAAGUUGCAACAUGGAACCCAGCAACAAGACCUUACUAAGAAAGAAAGAAGAGUAGGAACUCUUCAAAUUACAUAUAUUUGUCUUACCAAACUGACUAUGAAUAAGAAAGAAGGAGUGAGGAAAGGAUUAUGCUUCUUAGUACUCCUAAAACAUUAUCGUAAGAAAA